rnacentral:lncRNA from 1 species
AGCGCUGUCGUCUUCCUCCUCGCCAGUAGGAGCAGGAGGUGGCCGCCGCGUCGCCGCGCGCCUCCACACAGCUCUCUGCCUGCCUGGCCGCCGCUUCGCGCUGGCAAGCACGGGGAUAACCUCCCCAAGCACGUAGCUAUCCAUUCCCGUGCUCCUUCUUCCCCCUCUCCUCUCGGUUCUUCCGAUCCCCACUGCCGCNUGGAGCUGAAAUAAAUAGCAAAUCAAAUAGUUAGCAAAACAGAAACAAAAAAAAGAGGAAAGAACUACCUGUCGCUCACCUCAGCCCAGGCCCAGUAGCGCUGUCGUCUUCCUCCUCGCCAGUAGGAGCAGGAGGUGGCCGCCGCGUAGCCGCGCGCCUCCACCCAGCUCUCUGCCUGCCUGGCCGCCGCUUCGCGCUGGCAAGCACGGGGAUAACCUCCCCCAGCACGUAGCUAUCCAUUCCCGUGCUCCUUCUUCCCCCUCUCCUCUCGGUUCUUCCGAUCCCCACUGCCGCCAUUGACAGAAGCUCGAGCUCGAGCUGCCCGUGCCCCUAGCCACAAGAUCUUCCUCCUGAGCGUGUCAUUAGCUCCGCCUCGACGAGCUGGUCCUCCCUGCAGAAGCCGAAGCCUCCCCGAGCCCUGCAACGCCACGGCACCGUCGUCUUCAACCUUCGGCCGCCGGCGAGCUCUGCUCGAUUCGUCGCCCUCAGUGCUUCCCCGAGCCGUCUAAGACCUCCUCUGCACUCCUCGUGAGCUUGCGCAACUUUCCCCUAAGAUUUCCCCGUCGAUCCCCUCCUCUAGGCCUAGUUCCACCGGAGCCCGACAAGGACUGCCGCUGCAGCUCGUCGCCAG